UACGGAGGAUGCGAGCGUUAUCCGGAUUUAUUGGGUUUAAAGGGUGCGUAGGCGGAGUGUCAAGUCAGCGGUAAAAUUUCGGGGCUCAACCUCGUCGAGCCGUUGAAACUGUCAGACUUGAGUUGGCGAGAAGUACGCGGAAUGCGCGGUGUAGCGGUGAAAUGCAUAGAUAUCGCGCAGAACUCCGAUUGCGAAGGCAGCUUACCGGCGCUCAACUGACGCUGAGGCACGAAAGUGCGGGUAUCGAACAGG
rnacentral:rRNA from 1 species